GGCGGGCCUCCCCGCAUCGCAUGGUAGUGAACCUGGUCAGGUCCGGAAGGAAGCAGCCACAGCUAUUCUCUGCGAGUGCCGGGGGUCAGGCUCGCCACC
rnacentral:SRP_RNA from 1 species